UAAUUGGAAGCAACGCGCAGAACCUUACCAACGUUUGACAUCCCUAUCGCGGUUACCAGAGAUGGUUUCCUUCAGUUCGGCUGGAUAGGUGACAGGUGCUGCAUGGCUGUCGUCAGCUCGUGUCGUGAGAUGUUGGGUUAAGUCCCGCAACGAGCGCAACCCUCGUCCUUAGUUGCCAUCAUUAAGUUGGGCACUCUAAGGAAACCGCCGGUGAUAAGCCGGAGGAAGGUGGGGAUGACGUCAAGUCCUCAUGGCCCUUACGCGUUGGGCUACACACGUGCUACAAUGGCGACUACAGUGGGCUGCGACCGUGCGAGCGGAAGCUAAUCUCCAAAAGUCGUCUCAGUUCGGAUUGUUCUCUGCAACUCGAGAGCAUGAAGGCGGAAUCGCUAGUAAUCGCGGAUCAGCAUGCCGCGGUGAAUACGUUCCCAGGCCUUGUACACACCGCCCGUCACACCAUGGGAGUUGGGUUCACCCGAAGGCGUUGCGCUAACUCAGCAAUGAGA
rnacentral:rRNA from 1 species